rnacentral:sRNA from 1 species
AUGAGGUUGAUGAUAGUUAUGGGGGUUACUGGGAGAGAUAAAUGAGAUUAUCUACUCAAGCUCUUCUAACAGGUCUUAGCACAUAGUAAGUGCUCCGUGUCAGCUAUGAUUGUCACUGUGCUUUCUUUCUCCUGCAGAUGGACGACGAGGACACGUUGUUACCUAGGAAGUUGCAGGCAGCUCUGGAGCAGGCUCUGGAGAGGAAGAAUGAGCUGAUCUCCCAGGACUCUGACAGCGACUCCGACGAUGAAUGUAAUACCCUCAAUGGGCUGGUGUCGGAGGUGUUUAUCCGGUUCUUUGUGGAGACCGUUGGGCACUACUCCCUCUUUCUGACACAGAGUGAGAAGGGAGAGAGGGCCUUUCAGCGAGAGGCCUUCCGCAAAUCUGUGGCCUCCAAAAGCAUCCGCCGCUUUCUUGAGGUUUUUAUGGAGUCUCAGAUGUUUGCUGGCUUCAUCCAAGACAGGGAGCUAAGAAAGUGUC